rnacentral:rRNA from 1 species
AGCAGCCGCGGUAAUUCCAGCUCCAAUAGCGUAUAUUAAAGUUGUUGCAGUUAAAAAGCUCGUAGUUGAAUUUCGGGGUUCUACCGUCGGUCGGGCUACCAAGUCUGUACUGGUGUGUAGAAUUUCUACCUUCUGGGGAACCAUCAUGUUAUUAAUUUAGCGUGGUGGGAAACCAGGACCUUUACCUUGAAAAAAUUAGAGUGUUCAAAGCAGGCUUAUGUCUGAAUACAUUAGCAUGGAAUAAUAGAAUAGGACGGUGGUCCUGUUUUGUGGUUUCUGAAUCACCGUAAUGAUUAAUAGGGAUAGUUGGGGGCAUUAGUAUUCAAUUGUCAGAGGUGAAAUUCUUGGAUUUAUUGAAGACUAACUUCUGCGAAAGCAUUUGCCAAGGAUGUUUUC